rnacentral:rRNA from 1 species
GAUGAACGCUAGCUACAGGCUUAACACAUGCAAGUCGAGGGGCAUCAGGAAGAAAGCUUGCUUUCUUUGCUGGCGACCGGCGCACGGGUGAGUAACACGUAUCCAACCUGCCCUUUACUCGGGGAUAGCCUUUCGAAAGAAAGAUUAAUACCCGAUAGUAUAAUGAUUCCGCAUGGUUUCAUUAUUAAAGGAUUCCGGUAAAGGAUGGGGAUGCGUUCCAUUAGGUUGUUGGUGAGGUAACGGCUCACCAAGCCUUCGAUGGAUAGGGGUUCUGAGAGGAAGGUCCCCCACAUUGGAACUGAGACACGGUCCAAACUCCUACGGGAGGCAGCAGUGAGGAAUAUUGGUCAAUGGGCGCUAGCCUGAACCAGCCAAGUAGCGUGAAGGAUGAAGGCUCUAUGGGUCGUAAACUUCUUUUAUAUAAGAAUAAAGUGCAGUAUGUAUACUGUUUUGUAUGUAUUAUAUGAAUAAGGAUCGGCUAACUCCGUG